rnacentral:lncRNA from 1 species
UUUUUUAUCAAAAAGAGCUUUGAAAAGGAUUUUAAAAAAGAUUUUAUGCAUAAAUUUUUUAAUACAAGUGAGAAUUGAUCCUAGACUAGCGGAACAUAUUGCACUCUAAAACUAUCUAAGGAAUAUAGGAGAUCACUCAAAACCUAAGAUAAUCUAGAGACAAAGAAAGAACUACAAUACCAUUAUCCUUCCUUGUUGUUCCCUUUUAUAAUUUCCCAUGCAAGUUGGCCUUCUCCUUAUUCAUUUUGAAUGAACAUAUUCCUAUUUUUGUGUUUGAUUGUUUCAUUUGGACAUAUAGUUUACCUCAUUGUACUAGGAACUACUUUAACAAAAAAUGUAGAAACACUUAUUUAAGAUUUUAUUAAUAUUUUUUGCACUACACUCUUUUGGUUAUCAUAAAGUAUUAUCUUACUUGUUUUUCCUCAUAAGAUUCUUAACAAGGAAGUUGCUUGUAUGUGUUCCUUCCCAAGACUUAAGUCUAGUCAUCUAAACAUAUUUAUUCCCUAUUGAAUAUUUUAAUUAUAUUUUACUUUCGGUUGUUUCUUUAAGUGGUAAGUGGUAGGGUUGCCAACAAAUUUUGAAUUCCUCAAUUCCAUCAUUUUCAUCUCAUUCAUUUUUACAACAAAAAUUAUGUACAUUUUUAACUUCAAUUCUCAAGCCUGGAUUUUUUUUAUUUAUGUCUAUACAAUGACAAUUCUAUAUUCCAUAACUAGUUAAUUCUCGUUCUCUUUUUUAUCAAGAGCACACAACAUUUUUCUCAACUCGUGUAAUUUUCACGUUUAAUUUAUAUUAACUUUGAUAUAGAAAGAUAUAAAAAAUAACUCUAUAUUAUUUUAGUUUGUAAAAAAAAGGGUGUUGUUACCCCUUGGAUCUGUUAUUAAGGCACCUUUUUUCUUUAGAUUCAUUAUUGUUGUUUCUCUUUUUGGAUUUCCUCCUAUAUAUCACAAGAUGCUAAAAUAUAAAUAAUUAAUAUAUAUAUAAUAUAUUUUAAUAAAGAAAAUAAUGAACAAAUUACAUUAUUAUAAUUGACUUUUGCAACUCCUAAGUUCUAAAAAGCAUUUAAUUAAAAUUAAAAGAGCUUGAAGUUUUACUUAUUUAGAGAUCAAAAAUACUUUUACAUUACAAUUAAAGGAGUUAAAACAUGGCUCAAAUACUCAUGUUCGUUAGUGUUUUGAUCAUCUUUCUUUCUCUUUUUUUGGCUGAUACCAAACAAAGUAAGUUUUAUUCACACCAUUUUUAAAUUUUCUAGUUUAUAUUAUACACACUAUUUUAUCAUCUUCUAGUAAUAUUUUAUUUUGUGUUUUGACAAUGCAGCUAAUAUUCCUUGUGAGAAUAAACGUGAUUGUCCACAACCGUUAUAUCCUAAAUUUGUGACGUGCUUUGAAGGUUUAUGUCGGAUGCAUUAUCCACUAAAAAAAAUUUAAAAUAAUUAUCUUUCCUUAAAUCAUUGAAUAAUAUUUGUAUUCUACCAAAAAUAAUAAUAAUAUAUGUACCUUUAUUGUGGACUAUUAAAUUUGAAAAUAAUUAUGUUUCCUAAAUUCAUAUAAUAAUGUUUGUGUUAUGUUUCUAAGGCCUAGAUGGCCCUUCAUACAGUUCAGAACAGUUGUUCCCCAAGCUAUAGGUUGAGGAAAUCGGACUCUAGCUUGAUAGAAGCUUUCACAGAUCCAACAUUUAACUAGAAGCACGUUCUUUGAGCUUGAACAUUAGUGUCUCCCAAAAUAAUAUGAGUAUUUUUGAGGUGGAAAUACUUAGUGUAAGUAAACACAGUCUAGGUUAUAUUAUAAAAAGAUAUUGAUAUCAUAGGGACUGUAAAUCUAUAGCUUCAUGUAGCUUUUCAGCAUAAAACUUGUUUGUAAGAAAAUAAAAUAAAUCAUUUGUCCCAACAAUAAAUCUAAAAAGUUAAGUUGGGAAAACAGUUUAAAAGAUUUAGAAAUUCUCAAGAUGGAAAGUGUGGUUUAAACUAAGUUCAGUUAUGAUAAAACAUUACUGCGAUUUACAAAGUUAUAGCUUGGUACAACUCCUGUGACUCAGCGCUAUAGCCAGUUCAAAUAAUAUUUGGCAACCGAGAUUCAUAUGGCUAUAUAUCUCUCCAUCUUCCUUGCAACCCAAUUGGUCUUAGGGAGUGUUACCUCAUCCAUCGUGUUAAGGUCGUAACGACACAUUGUUCAGAAUACAAAGAGUCCGAACUUUUGGGGUAAGAUUAUGAAGAGUUUAGGGUCACAAGCCGUUGUUUCCUAUGACAAGAGUCCUACCAAGAACUUACCGCUUAGCUAUAGCUUUGAGGCUCUACUAAGUUCAUAUCUAAGAAAGAGUCUUUUAGGGUUUCGUAUCUUUGUUAAGCCUUGUGCUUUAUUGUAUACCUCUCUGGUUGUUACAAUUGAUUAUACAAAGCACAUAGUUGGUUUGUUGUAGUUGAGUUGUAUUGGAUCAAAACCAUCGUUUGAUAAAAGACAUUUAUUAGGGUUUUUGAGUCCUUGAUGUGAGCCGUUGUUGUAUCACGUUGAGGCAUAGAGUUGGACUGUAGUUAAGUUGUAAGCACGAGUUGAUUCUUAGAAUUGGAGAGUGUCUCCAUUACCGUUGUUACUUUUAAGACGAUCACUAGAAUUGUGAUUGAGAGGAAGUGAGAUGGGGAUCUCUCAUAUCUAGGACUAUGAGAGUCUUAGGUAGAAAUUACACGGAUAGUGAUUCAAUAAGAAGGCAGUGAAUUGGGAUUGUUCACGUGUGAAUCAGAGAUUGUUCACUUGAAACAUCAAAUUUCACAGUACAACAUUUGGCAAGAUGCAGGUACUAAAUGCUAUGCCGUGGAGGAAGUCGAUCCUUAUAGUUCCCAUGAAGACAUAGAACGACCACGUGCAGAUCAAGAAAAGAAAGUUGCAAAUAACACCAGAAAAGAGGAUGUCAGGGAAGGAGCUAUUGGGGGCUCUUGGAAGAAGACUAUUUAUGAAGACUUUGAUGUAUAGACCCCACACGUAAGGAUCACCGCAUGAUGAGCAGGUGCAACUUGACGACCGAUUAGGUUAGUAACAUCCCAACGACCUCAUCACUUAUAUAGUCUACCUAAGAUAAAUAAACACGACAUUACUUUUAUUUAAUAUCCAAAAAAUAAAUAGGGGGGAUUGAAAUAUUCCUAACCGCCACUUACUUUUAUGCAACGAAAACAGGUAACUUGCUCAGUUGCAAAUAGAUAAAAAUUGCAAAUCUCUAAUCCUUUAACUCUUAUUAUUUUAUCGUCAACUAAAAAAAAGUAACACGAAUUGUUUGGACGAAAAGAUAAUCCAUGUGGAUACGAUACUCUACUUAUCACUUUAUUACUUGGUAAACGAUUUGGUGCACUUGCCUAAUCCGCACAUCAGUAAACGCAAGACUUGCCUUUCAGAGCUGCAGCUCUCUGCAGCUUGUAGGUCGUUGCAGAUUUGAGGUUUUUGUAGGAUCUGGUCUUUUUUUUUUAAUUUUUUUUGGGGCUGGAGUGUCUUCCUCCUUCAGGUUAGAAGUUGGAGAUUAUAACUUGUACUUUUUUUAGGGGAUUGUAACUUGUACUUAGAAGGCUGCAUCCUUGAUUUAUUAAGUUACAACCUCUCUUUUUCUUUGUCUUAGGAAGUUGCAACUUUGGAUUUGAGGUUAUAGCAACGACAUCUGAGGCUACAACUUCUUCUAUUUGAUGGUUUAACUUCCUAUUUCUUUCCUCAAUUACUAGACAAUUCAUGGACGACUUAUCUUGAAGCACAAUUCUUUCUUUGUUGUUCUUCCUUCUCAAUAGACACGGUCAGAAUACCCUUUCCCUUGUGAUGAACAACUCGUUUCUUUGAAGUUGUAGCUUCCAGAGUGGAUGGUACAUCUUUUUUGCGACUUAAGUGUUGGAGUUGUUAUAGGACCAACAAGUUUCAGAGUGUAUGUUCUGAAAACACAGGAAUCGUUUCCUUAUAGUAGAUUUUCGAGUUAGAAACUAGAUGCUUCGAUGUUUCCCCAGAGUUCUUCAAUAUCCUUCUUGAACAUAUCCAACUCUAUUUAUUCAGGCGGAGGGCUAUAUCUCCCUGCAUAUUUGAUUAUGCCUCCAAAAAAGUAAUUCGGGACUAUAGGAAAUAAAACUUGGAAAUCCCACUUCAAAACCCAUUUCUCCAAUGAUAUUUCCUCUUCUUCUUCAUUUACGUCCAUAAAACCUUUUAUUCAUUAUUGAUCUUCUCAAAUGCAUGCUAGGUGAUAAAGUGAUAUAUUGGCAAAUUUGUGUUGAUGCCCCAACAUCUACCCUUUUCAGUUCAAGCUCUCUUCAAUGACACUAGGGCAGCGAGUUAAAUAAUUUAUCUUUUCAACACCAUUUUUGCACGCUUAUGGGUUUUGGGUGUGGAAGGUUAAAAUGAUGGUGAAAUUAAAAUAUAAUAUGUGGAGGAAUGGUGUAUAUUUGUGAAGGGUGAAAAUCCCAUUUUUGACCUCAUUCAUCCCAAAAUCGUUGUAUGAACAUUACCCAUAGUUAAUACAAAUUAAAUGAGCAUUUAUAACACAUAAAAACACUGAUUCCACCUUUAAUUUCAUGAUUCUUCACCCAAUUUUUCAAAACUCAACGACAUCACAUAAUCACUUUUAAACUAGGAACUUAUCAGUUACAAUUCAUACAAACAACACCCACACAUUCCCAAUCAUUUAUCAAGAACAUACAUCAUGAACUUAACAAUUUUCAACAACAACAUCAUGAUUUUCAUCCAAUUAAGGUAAAACUCAUAAUUAUCAACUUAUCAUAAUCAAACAUUUAAUUUCAUGCAACAACAACAAGUUUCUACCACUUUUCAUAUACCCAAAAUUAACAACUUAAUUAGAGCACGAAAAUUAGUUUAAAACAACAUCAAUUUCAUAAUUUCACAAAGACAAACUUGACCCAAAUAUCAUAUAAGUGGUUAUAAUUCAAUAUGUGAACAUAAUCUCUCUAUCCUUACCUUUAAAUCCCAAAAGUUUGGCUAUAAGCUCCAAUCUACUUUCCCUUUUGAGGUUCUCCAUGCUAGAUCUUCUUGUCCCUUAAAACUCUUCUUUCUUCCUCUUUUUCUCAAUUUUCUAUCGUCUCCCACUUGCCUCUUUUCUCUCAAUUGUGACAAAUGAGUUAUUGACCUAAUUUUUAUAAAGACCACUUCAAUUAUAUACUUAUGGGCUUAGUCAUACUCACUAUUGGGCUUAGUAACUUUCUAUCACUCAUAAAAUAUUACUACACAAUUGCUUCUUUUAAAUCCCCACUAUUACUCAUGCACCAUUAUUAUAUUAAUUACCCUAAUUUACUACUAACAGUGCUAAAUGAUCUUACACUCCCAAAUAUUUGAAAUACCGAACAUUCUAAAAUUACCAAAAUGCUCUUACUCUUCAAAUGACCAAAAUACCCUUAUUGCCUAAAAAAAUCCACUAAUCCCUAAAUCAAGCACAUCAAAUAAGCAAUUAAAUAAAUACAAUAAAGAAAUAAAUAAUCCUAGCGAAAAUUGGGGUGUUACACCAUCUGCUCAUAACUUGUCCCACUCAGAUUUUUCUCUGGGAUUUGAAAUAUGAGGCCACUUACUCCUUUUCUGCAACAUUUAUCACCUGACCAGAGUCUGUUGUUCGAAGGUACAUCUUCCGAACGAGAGCUGAAUCUUUUUGUAUUUUCAAUCCUGCAAUUGAAAAACACACUAAAGUAGACACAAAUGUUAAAAAAAUUAAAAAUAGAAGUGUGAACACUCCAUUUAUUGAGUGUUGCAUCCGUUAAGCGCUUCUUUAUUAUCAUUAGCUUAACAAAUCAACACCCAAGCUAGGGUGGAUAAUAUGACAAGAAGAAUAUAUCCUCCUUCCUCUUCUUUCCAUUAGGUAGAAAUCCCAUAUACUUAAGAUAUGGUAGCAAGUGUUCCCAUUCCCCCAGAACAGGACCAUUGGAACAUGAUUUCUCCAUAUCUUGAAGUGUUAAAAAUUCAGCUUAAGGAGGAUAUUUUUCUUGAAACACCUAGGGUUAAGUCUUAACAACUACAUGAAUUGUUUUAUCCUCUUCCCUUGGGGUUUCAGCAACACUAUCUACUUCUACUCCUACUCCUAAGACUACAAUAUUUUUUUCUUCCGCUCUUUCAUCAAGGCAUUGUUUAGUUUCUAACUCCUUAUUAUGUUGUUCAACCGCUUUUUCCAUAUAGUUCUCAUCUCAUUUUAGAUGAUAUGCAUUGAGAUGAGACUCUAUGUUUUGGCUUGAGACAUGAUAUGCCUCAAUACUUUUAUUGAUAGAAUUGCUUGACUAUUCAGAUUGGAUCAAGAAACUGUUUAGCAUAAGAGCCAAGUUUUCUACCAACUCCAUACUCUCUUCCUCUUGUUCAACUAGUUCCUCCAUAUGGUUCUUUUGGUUUAGAUUUUCAAAUUAUAACCAAUGAUGAAAUCUAGCUUAGCUGCAUGCCUAUCCAAAUAAUCAUUGACUUCAGCAAAAAGGAGUUCAAGUGUAUGGUUUUUUCCAAAAAAAAAAAAAAAUUUCCCAUGCCAUAGCCAACAUUUGGUGUUUUUGUGGACAUGAAAUUUAUUCAAUUGUAGUCACUUAUAUGCUCAGCCCCUUCAUAUUCAAGAAUUUGUGGUUGAACCUCAUCUUCUUCAAAAAAGCUAAAAGGCCAAUAACUCAUAGUUGGCGUGGAAUUUUUUUUUUCCACUUAAACGACUAACUAAAAACAGAAAAUAAAAAUCAAUAAAAACAAAACACAAAACAGAACAAAAUUUGACCAAAAAAGAUCUUGACUAAAAUAAACUGACAAAUAUGAAAAUGACUUAGAAUAAACCACAUAACAAUCCCCGAAUUUUUAUCAAAAAGAGCUUUGAAAUGGAUUUUAAAAAAGAUUUUAUGCAUAAAAAAUGUUAAUACAAGUGAGAAUUGAUCCUAGACUAGCGGAACAUAAUGCACUCUAAAACUAUCUAAGGAAUAUAGGACAUCAUUCAAAACCUAAGAUAAUCUAGAGACAAAGAAAGAACUACAAUACCAUUAUUCUUCCUUGUUGUUCCCUUUUAUAAUUUCCCAUGCAAGUUGGCCUUCUCCUUAUUCAUUUUGAAUGACCAUAUUCCAAUUUUUGUUUUUAAUUGUUUCAUUUGGACAUAUAGUUUACCUCAUUGUACUAGGAACUACUUUAAGAAAAAAUGUAGAAACACAUAUUUGGUUUUCGUCAUAAGAUUCUUAACGAGGAAGUUGCUUGUAUGUGUUCCUUCAAGAGACUUAAGUCUAGUCAUCUAAACAUGUGUAUUCCCUAUUGAAUAUUUUAAUUAUAAUUUACUUUCAGUUGUUUCCUUAAGUGGUAAGUGGUAGGGAUGCCAACAAAUUUUGAAUUCCUCAAUUCCAUCAUUUUCACCUCAUUGAUUUUUACAACAAAAAUUAUGUAUAUUUUUAACUUCAAUUCUCAAGCCUGGAUUUUUUUUAUUUAUAUCUAUACAAUGACAAUUCUAUAUUCCAUAACUAGUUAAUUCCCGUUCUCUUUUUUAUUAAGAGAACACAACAUUUUUCUCAACUCGUUUAAUUUCCACAUUUAAUUUGUAUUAUCUUUGCUGGAGUGGAUUCUACUAAUAUUUCCGAUCAUUUGUUGCAGUUUACGUAUAUGACUGGUGUUGAUAAAGCUAAACGUUCGUUGUAACGCCCUAAUUUAUUAUUUAUUUAUUUUAUUGAGUUUAGAUGUCUUUUUAUAAUUUAGUCGAUUUAUUUUGAUGAGUGAUAUUUUGUUAUGUUAUANUUUGAUUGUUUCAUUUGGACAUAUAGUUUACCUCAUUGUACUAGGAACUACUUUAACAAAAAAUGUAGAAACACUUAUUUAAGAUUUUAUUAAUAUUUUUUGCACUACACUCUUUUGGUUAUCAUAAAGUAUUAUCUUACUUGAUUUUCCUCAUAAGAUUCUUAACAAGGAAGUUGCUUGUAUGUGUUCCUUCCCAAGACUUAAGUCUAGUCAUCUAAACAUAUUUAUUCCCUAUUGAAUAUUUUAAUUAUAUUUUACUUUCAGUUGUUUCUUUAAGUGGUAAGUGGUAGGGUUGCCAACAAAUUUUGAAUUCCUCAAUUCCAUCAUUUUCAUCUCAUUCAUUUUUACAACAAAAAUUAUGUACAUUUUUAACUUCAAUUCUCAAGCCUGAAUUUUUUUUAUUUAUGUCUAUACAAUGACAAUUCUAUAUUCCAUAACUAGUU